CAAAGGUCUGCAAACUGCUCACCCCCUCUAAGCCAGCCAGAAAACUCUCAUGAUUUGUGAGUUCACUAUAGCUUACCCAUCUGAAAAUUGCUGCCCUUCUAGUUUGUCAGGGGUGUCUGUGGCUCUAUUUUCCCUGGGGUGAUCAGCCACUGAGGAGCUGUCGUCCAGCGAGACCAGGCGGGACACCCUGCUCGCAACGCCACUAUUGUCAUGGAAGUUUAAUUAACAAAGUCGGCAGACACAAUCAGCUGUACCAACCCUCUUUAUUUCUUCAUGCGCAUGAGAGAGAGCAUCCAACAGGGCACUGCUGUGUGAUCUCUAAAGGAAAAGACACAGCUUUCUCUUAAAUAUAGGACUAAACUGAGUCCAAAUGAGUGGUUCAACUCCGUUCUUCAGGUGUCUUCUAUAAUCCAAUCAUAUGGCUGACAGCACCAUUUACUGUUUUCUAUUUAUCAUUUCCCAAUCACCCAGAAUCACUGGGCUGUGCUUGAAAUCAAUGAUUGUUCAAAACCUUCAGAAUAAAGAGUUAGCAUUCUUUCUGUUUUUAACAUAAGCUCAAACUUCUUUUACUCCCUUAAUCUAUCAUGUACAACCGCAGUGGGUAAUUAUUUUCCCAAGGUCCACAUGAGAAAUUGGGACUAUUGUGGAGGGUCACACCAAUAAGCUGAACUCAAUUCUGAUAAAUAUUAGUUUUUAUGUUUUUAUGAAUUGCUACUAGUAAAGGUAGAUGUUACACUUAUGCACUGAAAAUAUGAAAUAACCAUAAUAAAAAUGGUAAUAUUUUAUCACUUUUCAGUUAACAUUCCCAAAAACUCCAUUCCCAUCACUUUGCUGCUGGAAUUUCCCACAAUGCAGGAUAUUUGUAUUCUACUCUAAUUACUUCUAAUUUCCCAAAAUGUCCUUGAUUGGUCUUGUUACAGUUCACCCAGAAAAGGGCAGAUUCUCAAAUGCUUCUUUUUUCUUAGGGUAUCAGAGUUCACCAAACACUCUGACAAAAUCCCAAAAACCAGUUGAUAACAGAGCUGGUCUUGACUCUGUCAAUCUUGAAAAGUAAAAUGUCUGUGAUGCUUUUGGAGCUUUGCUAGCAAAGGUUCAUACUCCCACCCUCACUCUGUAUCAGUUAAGUUCUUGUAUUUCUUGGCAUGUUUAGUCUUGUAGUGGUGACUUAAACUGUAAUCCUUAAACACAGCAAUCUGCUGUCUUCAAACUAAUCACACUGCUUACUGUCAUGGUUCUCAAGAUCUGGAGAGGUCGUGGUGUGUACCUUUUGUCUUAGCCUCUUCCACCAGGGCGGAACUGGGCCCUGAUUCCCCGCCUCUGAACCCGCCCUGAACACACACCUGUGGCUCAUUCACACAGAUCCUGGCAAACUACUUAAGAUGGAAAGAGAGACUGCUUCCUCGCUGGAUCGUCACACUACCUAGCACCUUCUUGAUCCCCUGCCCGUCUUCCCUGCCGUCUGGAUCUCUGUGGACAAGUGUGAGUGAGCGUGAGCUUUUGGAGUGGACAUUCGGAGUGAGCUGAAGAGGGGCGUGUGUGUGCCCCCGUCUUGGACCUUCCCUUUGAACCCCGCUUUACUCCCCCGGAGCCCCGUGUUAUCCGUUUCACUGUAUAUAUGUAUAUAUUCUCACUUGGUGUCACGUUGUGAAUAAACCCUCACCUUCUCUCCAUA